AUGUUGGAUGCAUGUGCAGCUAAGGGCCUGGGGAUCUUGCUGAUUCAGAGCUACAAAGAUAUCCUGGUGGCUGAGCAUACAAACCCUCUGGGUGUGGUGAUUGUCAGAGAUGGUCAGAUCGAUGAGACAGAACUGACCAAGGCCUUGGGAGAGAUGUUUGAUUGGGGAUGGCAAUGGAGAGUCAAGGAAUUUGGGAAGAAUGGCUUUAUGAUGAGAUUUCCCAACACGGCAAAAUUGGUGGAACUUGCAAAAUUCAAUGACUUUAAUUUGCUGGGGACAGGGGUGGUGAUCAAGGUACAACCUUGGUCUUUUGAUCAUCAAGCAAUUGGGAAAAUGCAUACAGCUUGGAUUAAACUGAACAAAGUGCCUGACUGCUUCAGACACUUCUUUGGAAUAUGUGAGGUGGCUGCUGCAGUGGGGCCGUGCUGGAAAUUGAUAUGGACACCAUAA
rnacentral:rRNA from 1 species